CCUGAAACUGUCCAUCUCUGCUGAUGGCCAUGAUGGGCCACAAUGGACUCAACUACACUGACAAAAUAGGCAGCUGGAACCACCUGGACCCUUGACUCACAGUAUUACAUCAUCAGGAAUAUGAUGUUUACUUCGAUCAUGGGAUACCAAAAUUGCAACAAUCAAGUAUAAUUUCUGGAUCCAACAGAUCUGUGAAGAAAUAUUAGCUGUGACAGAACCUUUCAAUCUGAGAAUUCAGCUGAAGAGAAGAUUUAGGGUGACUAGAGACAAGUGACAUGUCUGAAAGACCACAGAAGGUA